UCUUCCGUAUUAUAGUGGUCAGUAUGCAAGCUUGUCACGCUUGAGACUUGGGUUCAAUUCCCGGCGGGAGAG
rnacentral:tRNA from 1 species